UUUCUCGGCCUUUUGGCUAAGAUCAAGUGUAGUAUCUGUUCUUAUCAGUUUAAUAUCUGAUAUGUGGGCCAUGUGCCCACAACGAUAUUAAAUUUAUUUUUCGUGGGGGAAGGCCCGCCACGGUAGCUUGCUGCCGGGGCCUUCAUGUGUCGCUUGGGCUUUGCACUACCGCCCAGGCCUGGCGCACCCCAACCAAUUCCAAAUUAAAGAUUUUAGUCCCCUCAAUUUUUUUUAUUUAAAGAUUUUAGUACUGAGUAUUGCAACUAAUUUUUCCCACAAAGGAAGCUGCAGGCUCGAUUUGCGAAGGCAAGAGAGGAUUACGCCACGGGCGUUUUGGAACCUGUCGUUCCUCUUUUCUGUUUUCCUCUGAUGGCCGGCCGGCCAAGUUGGUUGAGAGCUCCAGAAAACCACUCUUGAUAGUCCAGUUUUUCCUUUCGGGUAAGCAACAUACAAACGAUAGCUAUCACAUCGUGGGCCGUCUCUCUUGUGCCCAAUCUAGCGAGCUUGACAAGGCUAGCUUGCUCUCCGGAACACUGAUCGAGUUCAGUUCCUGCAGGAAACAAACAGGGGAAACAUGCAUUCAAAACGAAAGCCUAGAGGCAUUAUCCGCGAGUAAUUGGGGAAUGAUACCUGUGGACCAUGCCUUACCAGUUUAUUUCAUUCCAGAUAUAGUCAUUAUCAAAUGACAGCACAAGAACCAAUCAGAAUCCAGCAUCCUGGACUAUCUCCCCUGUA